rnacentral:rRNA from 1 species
GAUGAACGCUGGCGGCGUGCCUAAUACAUGCAAGUCGAGCGAACAGACGAGGAGCUUGCUCCUCUGACGUUAGCGGCGGACGGGUGAGUAACACGUGGAUAACCUACCUAUAAGACUGGGAUAACUUCGGGAACCCGGAGCUAAUACCGGAUAAUAUAUUGAACCGCAUGGUUCAAUAGUGAAAGACGGUUUUGCUGUCACUUAUAGAUGGAUCCGCGCCGCAUUAGCUAGUUGGUAAGGUAACGGCUUACCACGGCAACGAUGCGUAGCCGACCUGAGAGGGUGAUCGGCCACACUGGAACUGAGACACGGUCCAGACUCCUACGGGAGGCAGCAGUAGGGAAUCUUCCGCAAUGGGCGAAAGCCUGACGGAGCAACGCCGCGUGAGUGAUGAAGGUCUGCGGAUCGUAAAACUCUGUUAUUAGGGAAGAACAAAUGUGUGAGUAACUAUGCACGUCUUGACGGUACCUAAUCAGAAAGCCACGGCUAACUACGUG